rnacentral:rRNA from 1 species
CAGCCGCCGCGGGAAUACGUAGGUGGCAAGCGUUGUCCGGAAUUAUUGGGCGUAAAGGGAGCGCAGGCGGACAUAUAAGUCCAUCUUAAAAGUGCGGGGCUCAACCCCGUGAGGGGAUGGAAACUGUAUGUCUUGAGUGCAGGAGAGGAAAGCGGAAUUCCCAGUGUAGCGGUGAAAUGCGUAGAUAUUGGGAGGAACACCAGUGGCGAAGGCGGCUUUCUGGACUGCAACUGACGCUGAGGCUCGAAAGCCAGGGGAGCGAACGGGAUUAGAUACCCCAGUAGUCCCUGUCUCUUAUACA